rnacentral:lncRNA from 10 species
CAGCCUUGCAUCCCAGGGAUGAAGCCCACGUGAUCAUGGUCAAUAAGCUUUUUGAUGUGCUGCUGGAUUCGGUUUGCCAGUAUUUUAUUGAGGAUUUUUGCAUCGAUGUUCAUCAGGGAUAUUGAUCUAAAAUUCUCUUUUUUUGUUUUGUCUCUGCCAGGCUUUGGUAUCAGGAUGAUGCUGGCCUCAUAAAACAAGUUAGGGAGGAUUCUCUCUUUUUCUAUUGUUUGGAAUAGUUUCAGAAGGAAUGGUACCAGCUCCUCCUUAUACCUCUGGUAGAAUUCGGCUGUGAAUCCAUCUGGUCCUGGACUCUUUUUGGUUGGAAUGACGGACGCUGGGGCUUUGAUGGGCACCGGGUGAAAUGGGCAGAGUGGCGCUUACCCGGGAUGGCGGUGAAGCGGGACCGGGAGGUCAUCGUGACAAAGGGUGGCAUGAGGUACCUGGCCUUGACGCCCUCCCCGGCUAGACGGUCCAGAUUGGGGGUGUCCACAUCCUGAUCCUAGUCCCAGCGGAAGCCCUGGAAGGAGAUCAGCAGCAGCU